rnacentral:rRNA from 1 species
UAACGCGUGAGUAACCUACCCCAUACACAAGGAUAGCCAUUGGAAACGAUGAUUAAUACUUGAUAAGACCACAUGAUCACAUGAUCAAGUGGUAAAAGCUCCGGCGGUAUAGGAUGGACUCGCGUCUGAUUAGCUAGUUGGUAAGGUAACGGCUUACCAAGACAGCGAUGGGUAGGGGCCCUGAGAGGGGGAUCCCCCACACUGGUACUGAGACACGGACCAGACUCC